UACAGAGGUCUCAAGCGUUGUUCGGAUUCAUUGGGCGUAAAGGGUGCGUAGGCGGCGCGGUAAGUCGGGUGUGAAAUCUCGGAGCUUAACUCCGAAACUGCAUUCGAUACUGCCGUGCUUGAGGACUGGAGAGGAGACUGGAAUUUACGGUGUAGCGGUGAAAUGCGUAGAUAUCGUAAGGAAGACCAGUGGCGAAGGCGGGUCUCUGGGCCGACACUGACGCUGAUGCGCGAAAGCCAGGGGAGCGAACGGG
rnacentral:rRNA from 1 species